UUACCGAGUUUACAACUCCCAAACCCAUGUGAACAUACCUAUUGUUGCUUCGGCGGGAUUGCCCCGGGCGCCUCGUGUGCCCCGGAUCAGGCGCCCGCCUAGGAACUCUAACUCUUGUUUUAUUUUGAAUCUUCUGAGUAGUUUUUACAAAUAAAUAAAAACUUUCAACAACGGAUCUCUUGGUUCUGGCAUCGAUGAAGAACGCAGCGAAAUGCGAUAAGUAAUGUGAAUUGCAGAAUUCAGUGAAUCAUCGAAUCUUUGAACGCACAUUGCGCCCGCCAGUAUUCUGGCGGGCAUGCCUGUCUGAGCGUCAUUUCAACCCUCACGCCCCUAGGGCGUGGUGUUGGGGAUCGGCCAAAGCCCGCGAGGGACGGCCGGCCCCUAAAUCUAGUGGCGGACCCGUCGUGGCCUCCUCUGCGAAGUAGUGAUAUUCCGCAUCGGAGAGCGACGAGCCCCUGCCGUUAAACCCCCAACUUUCCAAGGUUGACCUC
rnacentral:rRNA from 1 species